CUAGCACCACAUGGAACGCACUGCAAGACUGGAAAAUCUCUCUCCAGAGACAUUCAGGUCAAGAUCCAAAUGCAGGAAUUACACUGAUUAGACAGGAAAUCCAACACAGGACAGAAACAAAAUGAGUGAGUGCCAUCAGUCAAGUCAGGAGAGAAAAUACUUCUGAAGUCAUUUGUCCGGGAUAUUGGAGAUUCUCCCAGCUGUGCAGAGCCAUUUCAGGUCUACACAAAGCACACGCCAGCAAAUUAACUUUUAGUGUAUUCAGUGAAUUGCUGUGGGAGACCUCUAAUAGAAACAGUGCAACAGAGGAAGGAGGGAAACUAGGGAACUACCAGGCAUGACACAAGCAUGGAAGUCCCAUAACAUCAGACAGAAGGAACCAGGGGAAGUCCCAAGGUUUUGCUGACUUCACUGCCUGGAAUAAUAAGCCAGAUGGAAGGUCUGAUUUUAAAGGAUGAGAGCAAUGCGUGAAAGUUAACAGUGGAGACAAAGAACCAUGGCAGCGAUGGGAGAUAACUCAUGGGGUGAUGUUCAAAGGAGGAAAAGUUGUCAGAAUCUGUACUAUAGGGGAAUGCAGAAUGUAAUGAAGACAGAAGGAUAUCCAAGCGCAACACAAGAAUGAGUGAAAUAAAGUGAAGAAAAAUCUCCCUCUGAAAGAACAGUG